rnacentral:tRNA from 16 species
GCAUCCAUGGCUGAGCGGUUAAAGCACCCAACUCAUAAUUGGCGAAUUCACGGGUUCAACUCCUGUUGGAUGCA